GAGUUUGAACCUGGCUCAGGAUGAACGCUGGCGACGUGCUUAACACAUGCAAGUCGAACGGACCUGUACUGAAACCUAGUGAUUUACAGGUUAGUGGCGGACGGGUGAGUAACGCGUGGAAAACCUGCCGUAUACUGGGGGAUAACACUUAGAAAUAGGUGCUAAUACCGCAUAAGCGCACAGACCCGCAUGGGACAGUGUGAAAAACAAAAAGUUAAAGCUUUUUAUGGUAUACGAUGGUUCCGCGUCUGAUUAGCUUGUUGGCGGGGUAACGGCCCUCCAAGGCGACGAUCAGUAGCCGGCCUGAGAGGGUGAACGGCCACAUUGGGACUGAGACACGGCCCAGACUCCUACGGGAGGCAGCAGUGGGGAAUAUUGCACAAUGGGGGAAACCCUGAUGCAGCGACGCCGCGUGAGUGAAGAAGUAUCUCGGUACGUAAAGCUCUAUCAGCAGGGAAGAAAAAAAGUCUUU
rnacentral:rRNA from 1 species